rnacentral:rRNA from 1 species
ACGAACGCUGGCGGCGUGCUUAACACAUGCAAGUCGAACGGAAAGGCCCUGCUUUUGUGGGGUGCUCGAGUGGCGAACGGGUGAGUAACACGUGAGUAACCUGCCCUUGACUUUGGGAUAACUUCAGGAAACUGGGGCUAAUACAGGAUAGGAGCUCCUGCUGCAUGGUGGGGGUUGGAAAGUUUCGGCGGUUGGGGAUGGACUCGCGGCUUAUCAGCUUGUUGGUGGGGUAGUGGCUUACCAAGGCUUUGACGGGUAGCCGGCCUGAGAGGGUGACCGGCCACAUUGGGACUGAGAUACGGCCCAGACUCCUACGGGAGGCAGCAGUGGGGAAUAUUGCACAAUGGGCGGAAGCCUGAUGCAGCAACGCCGCGUGCGGGAUGACGGCCUUCGGGUUGUAAACCGCUUUCGCCUGUGACGAAGCGUGAGUGACGGUAAUGGGUAAAGAAGCACCGGCUAACUACGUG